rnacentral:rRNA from 1 species
GACGAACGCUGGCGGCGUGCUUAACACAUGCAAGUCGAACGGAAAGGCCCCCACUUUUUUGGUGGGGGUGCUCGAGUGGCGAACGGGUGAGUAACACGUGGGUGAUCUGCCCUGUACUUCGGGAUAAGCUUGGGAAACUGGGUCUAAUACCGGAUAGGACCAUGGUUUAGUGUCUCAUGGUGGAAAAAUUAUUGUUUUGGUGCAGGAUGAGCUCGCGGCCUAUCAGCUUGUUGGUGGGGUAAUGGCCUACCAAGGCGUCGACGGGUGGCCGGCCUGAGAGGGUGGACGGCCACAUUGGGAGUGAGAUACGGCGCAGACUCGUGCGGGAGGCAGCGGUGGGGAAUAUUGCACAAUGGGCGCAAGCCUGAUGCAGCGACGCCGAGUGGGGGAUGACGGCCUUCGGGUUGUAAACUCCUUUCGUUAGGGACGAAGCCGCACCUUUUUUGGGUGUGGUGACGGUACCUUUGUUAGGAAGCACCGGCUAACUACGUG